AAUGGAAAAAGCAAAUAGAAUACAAGGGCGUAAAUGGGUGAAGGCAUCGAGCUAUGAUGUUCAUUGAUUUGCUCGGAGUGGGGGAAACAGGGGAUCUGCAGAAUAAUCCAACCGAACCCAACCCAGUCCAGCCCACCGGCGGCUACAGGAAGACGGACGUCUGGCUGGUGGUCUUUUCUCCUCGAAGAGUGGUGGAUGGAAAAGAUGGGAACCGCCAACAGGGAGCUGGAACAUUUGUUCGAGGACAAGAAGCGCGUCAGAAAUCCCCUCGUCCCCUUCGGUGCAUUUAUUACAGCUGGAGUGCUUACGGCCGGACUUAUUAGCUUUAGACAAGGCAAUUCUCAAUUAGGUCAAAAGUUGAUGCGAGCUCGUGUGGUUGCACAAGGUGCAACUGUUGCAUUAAUGGUGGGGACUGCUUACUACUAUGGAGAUAAAUUUUAAUAUUUUGAAUAAUCUUCUAUGUCAUGUGACUGCCAAAUGGCUUUUGCCUUUGCCUUUUCCCUUAGAGAUCUUUUAUUCUGGAGGAUUAGAUCUAUCGUGUAAAAAACUUGUUACGACCCAAGUUUAUCACUUUUUGCUGAUGAGCAGGUCUGUUUGUUGCCUAUUUGUUUGUAUGAGCUAUUGCAUGCUACCAAUGGUUGCAAAGAUCUCUGAUGUGGUUGGACCAUUAAUGUAAAAUUUAAUUUAUGAUGCUGAUAUGCUGGUUUUUCAUUCAAAC